AAUAGGUCGAUAACAACUUCAGACUUUAGAUGUGGAUACAUUUUGGAUGAAUCGUCCAGCCCUAUACUACCAGCUGAGGGAAAGAGUGUUAUUGUCGGCUGUGUUAUCACGGCAGCUGCCCAAUUUCUAGGAGAUUCCUCGUUGGCUCGGAAAGGAAAGGCCUGUCUUUCAGCCUUAAGCCGAGCACUACGUCUGCAUUUAGUGAAGCUCCUCUGAACACUGCUCGUACUGUAUAUGCCUCGUCAGUCUCUCCUUUAACUGCGCAGUGGGGCUCAUGACUCGGUCAUGAUCCUGGCAGCGCUCAAUCUGCGGCAAAGGCACUAAGUGCUCCUGAAGAGCAACCACUUGCUUCCCACAAAAGGAGAAAGACGGCGCUCUGGGACAGGCAGUUUAGUGACUAGCAGAGCAUGAAAUAUUCACAAAGAAAAGAUAUGAAGGGUAGUGGGGAAAAGAGGUAACUCUGCCACAGCUUGUGUUGCUGAUGUACGCCAGGCCUGGAUGCCUCGAGGCGAAGAGGUUCUUGUGCAGAAUAACAGAAAAAAGUACAGAGGAAGUAGAAGUAUACAGGGAUUAUCAGCUGAUGAGGCCAACUGCGGGGGCCCCGUAUCGGAGAUGAGAGCGGUGCGUUCAGUGGAAGGGACGGAGGACGGAUCAAUAACCUGAGGGAACAGAGUGAAGAAGAGGGGGAGAAGAAACAAAGAAGAGCACUGUCUAUGAACAGUAGGUCAACGUCUUGAAUGGUCACGUGGCUGCUCGUUCACUUGGCUCUCCCAGCUCACCCAGGAAAUGAGAGACGGGGUCGGGAGGGCAACAAAUGAAGGCAUUAGGACUAUAGAUGAAAAGAGGGUGGUGAAAACCGUGCAACACAUCACCGGUUCUCCACUUUCUGCAACCCAGGCUGUCCAACACAAGCGGAGGGCGCCAGCAUCGCCAGGAACUCCACUAGCCCCGGCCACAGACUAUUUGCUCUCAUUGACUACCAGAGCACACUUACUGCACUAUUUACUUACUAUUAGCAUGACUGUAAUUUCACAAAAAGUCAUAGUAUAGAAUAUCAUUAAAAUGUCACUAAAAAGUUGUAGUACGUUGUAAAAAAAAAACAAAAAAAAC